UACGUAGGGGGCAAGCGUUAUCCGGAAUUACUGGGUGUAAAGGGUGAGUAGGCGGCAUGGUAAGCCAGAUGUGAAAGCCUUGGGCUUAACCCGAGGAUUGCAUUUGGAACUGUCAAGCUAGAGUACAGGAGAGGAAAGCGGAAUUCCUAGUGUAGCGGUGAAAUGCGUAGAUAUUAGGAAGAACACCAGUGGCGAAGGCGGCUUUCUGGACUGAAACUGACGCUGAGGCACGAAAGCGUGGGGAGCGAACAGG
rnacentral:rRNA from 1 species